CAACGAUCAGGGCUGAACACAGACCACUCACCAUGGAGUUUGGGCUGACCGGGCUUUUCCUUCUUGCUAUUUUAAGAGGUGUCCAGUGUGAGGUGCAGCUGGUGGAGUCUGGGGGAGGCUUGGUGAAGCCUGGGGGGUCUCUGAGACUCUCCUGUGUAGCCUCUGGACUCACUGACAGUUUCUAUGCCAUGAGCUGGGUCCGCCAGGCUCCAGGGAAAGGGCUGGAGUGGGUCUCAACCAGUGGUAGUAUUGGUGGUAGCACAAACUACGCUGACUCCGUGAAGGGCCGAUUCACCACCUCCAUAGACAACUCCAAGAACACCCUAUAUCUGCAAAUGAACAGCCUGAGAACCGAGGACACGGCCGUGUAUUACUGUACUAUUGACACAGGUCUGGAGGGGGCUUUGUACUCCACCCCUGAGGAUUGGGAUGUCUUCUGCUUACAGAGGCACAGGCAGCAGCAUCGAUGGCUUUAUGACUGA